rnacentral:misc_RNA from 1 species
CCUUCCUUCAAUCAAUGCAGUCUAAUCUAUUUCGCGAUUCCUGCCUCAAACCCUAAGUCCUUCAGUUGCUUCAGCCGCACCGCACUCAAGCCAUCACCACCAUUGUGGUUCACCUUUUCCGUUUUCCAUAAGCUUAUUCGUCGCUUUAGUUCAUCACUUCGAAUCAAUCAGCGUGGUCGUUGCAAUUGAACCGAAGGAGGAGGUAACGAUCCCUAACUAGCUGUCUAACCGCUGCCUAACUGCUUUGUCCAUAUCGCCGUCGCAGUUCAGUGUGGUAGAGGUAAAGAAAGAAAGGAGAGGGAGAGAUGGCAGACAGGUUGACGCGUAUUGCAAUUGUGAGCUCUGAUAGAUGCAAACCCAAGAAGUGCCGUCAAGAGUGCAAAAAGAGUUGCCCUGUUGUCAAAACUGGGAAAUUGUGUAUUGAGGUUACUCCCGCUUCUAAGAUAGCUUUCAUCUCUGAGGAGUUGUGCAUUGGAUGUGGUAUAUGUGUUAAGAAAUGCCCAUUUGAAGCAAUUCAGAUCAUCAACCUGCCAAAGGAUUUGGAUAAAGACACAACCCACCGUUAUGGGCCCAACACAUUUAAAUUGCACAGGUUACCAGUCCCUAGGCCUGGGCAAGUUCUCGGCUUGGUUGGAACAAAUGGCAUUGGGAAGUCCACUGCCCUAAAAGUUUUGGCUGGCAAACUGAAACCAAAUUUGGGUCGUUUCAAUGUACUAACUUUAUGUAUAAUUGCUGUUAUUGCUACAUGAUGCGUACAUGUGUUUUUGUAACAUUUUUGGAGUUUUCUUCUUUAUUUGCAGAAUCCUCCAGAUUGGCAGGAAAUCUUGACCUACUUUCGAGGAUCUGAAUUGCAGAAUUAUUUUACCCGUAUCCUGGAAGAUCAUUUGAAGGCCAUUAUAAAGCCUCAGUAUGUUGAUCACAUUCCCAAAGCAGUACAAGGCAAUGUAGGGCAGGUGCUUGACCAAAAGGAUGAAAGAGAUAUGAAAGCAGAACUUUGUCAAGAUCUUGAGCUGAACCAGGUUAUAGAUCGCAAUGUGGGGGAUUUAUCAGGUGGAGAGCUGCAGCGAUUUGCUAUUGCUGUUGUUGCGAUACAGAAUGCAGAGAUAUACAUGUUUGAUGAACCUUCAAGUUAUCUUGAUGUCAAACAGAGGCUUAAAGCUGCCCAAGUUGUCAGAUCUUUGCUCAGGCCUAAUAGCUAUGUAAUUGUGGUGGAGCAUGACCUUAGCGUCCUCGAUUAUUUAUCAGACUUCAUUUGCUGCUUAUAUGGGAAACCGGGUGCAUAUGGAGUUGUAACGCUUCCCUUCUCUGUUAGGGAAGGAAUUAAUAUUUUCUUGGCUGGAUUUGUUCCUACAGAAAAUCUUCGAUUUAGGGAUGAGUCUUUAACCUUCAAGGUUGCUGAGACUCCGCAAGAGAGUGCUGAGGAGAUUGAAACGUAUGCACGGUACAAAUAUCCAACCAUGACUAAAACUCAGGGUAACUUUAAGCUUCGAGUGAUUGAGGGUGAAUUUACAGAUUCUCAGAUAAUUGUUAUGUUGGGUGAGAAUGGAACAGGGAAGACAACAUUUAUUCGUAUGCUGGCUGGCUUAUUGAAACCUGAUACUGUAGAAGGUUCUGAUGUCGAGAUACCUGAGUUUAAUGUUUCUUACAAGCCCCAGAAGAUCAGUCCUAAGUUCCAAUCUACUGUUAGACACUUGCUACAUCAAAAAAUUCGCGAUUCUUAUACACAUCCUCAGUUUGUAUCAGAUGUCAUGAAACCGCUUCUUAUCGAACAACUAAUGGAUCAAGAAGUCGUAAAUCUAUCUGGUGGGGAGUUGCAAAGAGUUGCUUUGUGCCUCUGCCUUGGGAAGCCUGCAGAUAUUUAUCUAAUCGAUGAGCCAAGUGCUUAUCUAGAUUCUGAGCAGCGUAUUGUUGCUUCAAAAGUCAUAAAGAGGUUUAUUCUUCACGCAAAGAAAACUGCAUUUGUGGUAGAGCAUGAUUUUAUAAUGGCAACUUACCUUGCUGAUAGAGUUAUUGUAUAUGAGGGGAAGCCGUCUUUGGAUUGCACAGCAAAUUCUCCUCAGUCAUUGUUGACAGGAAUGAAUCUCUUCUUAUCUCAUCUGGAUAUCACAUUUAGGCGUGACCCAACUAAUUAUCGACCGAGAAUCAACAAACUGGACUCAACCAAGGACAGAGAGCAGAAGUCUGCAGGGUCAUAUUAUUACCUGGAUGAUUGAUGUAAUUAUUGACUGGUUCACAUAGUUUUCAUGCUGGCCAAACUCUAUUUCAGAUAUGCAGAAUUUGAGCGCAUCAUUCCGAGUAAUGUUGAAACUUGGCCAAGUUAUUCUAAUAGUUGGCAAAUGACUGGAUGUCUCCUGGCUGGCAAAGAACUAAAGUUUAUUUUUCUCUAAUUGAGCUGCAGGCUGUAUAUGAUGUUACUCGGUUGUGUUCUCUCUUAUAGUGUUUUUUUGGUUCACCUGUUAUCGGAGACCUUUAAGUGAGUGAAUCAUAAUAUUUUCCUUGAGCGGUUUGCGUUUGACUGGAUUUUCGGGGGGCAAAAAAAUAGAGGAAGAACGAGAGAGAUGCUAAACUUGAGUUAUUUUUUAAGUUAAUGUUGCGUUGAUUACAGUAUGAUAGUUAUUCCCCUGAAAAUUUUUCUUUCAAAUCUGCGGUGCCCGUUGUGAAAACUAUUCUAAUUGGAUGCGAGAAGACUAGCGAGGUAUGCAAGAAAAUCCUCCCUUUUAAGCCCAUAAGUUGCCAGCCCCUGUCCACACUGUUUUAAAGGAAUUAUAAU